GGGUGCAUAGCUCAGCGGGAGAGCGUUCCCUUCACACGGGAGAGGUCCAAGGUUCGAUCCCUUGUGCGCCCA
rnacentral:tRNA from 3 species